UGGGGAAUUUUGGACAAUGGGCGAAAGCCUGAUCCAGCAAUGCCGCGUGUGUGAAGAAGGCCUUCGGGUUGUAAAGCACUUUUGUCCGGAAAGAAAUCCUUGGCUCUAAUACAGUCGGGGGAUGACGGUACCGGAAGAAUAAGCACCGGCUAACUACGUGCCAGCAGCCGCGGUAAUACGUAGGGUGCAAGCGUUAAUCGGAAUUACUGGGCGUAAAGCGUGCGCAGGCGGUUUGCUAAGACCUAUGUGAAAUCCCCGGGCUCAACCUGGGAACUGCAUUGGUGACUGGCAGGCUAGAGUAUGGCAGAGGGGGGUAGAAUUCCACGUGUAGCAGUGAAAUGCGUAGAGAUGUGGAGGAAUACCGAUGGCGAAGGCAGCCCCCUGGGCCAAUACUGACGCUCAUGCACGAAAGCGUGGGGAGCAAACAGGAUUAGAUACCCUGGUAGUCCACGCCCUAAACGAUGUCAACUAGUUGUUGGGGAUUCAUUUCCUUAGUAACGUAGCUAACGCGUGAAGUUGACCGCCUGGGGAGUACGGUCGCAAGAUUAAAACUCAAAUGAAUUGACGGGGUCAUAGCUGUUUCCU
rnacentral:rRNA from 1 species